rnacentral:sRNA from 1 species
AGCCUCCGCGGUGGAUACGUCGCCAUCUUGGAUCCGCGGGACAAGAAAAUUCAUGCGAGGGAGACGUGGUGGGCGGUCCUUCCUGUGACACGACCCUUGAGUGACAGUUCUAUUUGAUUGCCUCCGGUACUGUGAGGAAAGGACACGACUCUAUGGUGAGGACUGAUGGACAUACAUUAUCUGAGAAAAGAAACUACCAGUAAAGAUGGGGUUUCACAGUGUUAGCCAGGAUGGUCUUGAUCUCCUGACCUCAUGAUCCGCCCGCCUUGGCCUCGCAAAGUUCUGGGAUUACAGGUGUGAGCCACCGCACCUGGCUGCAAAGUUAUCUUUUAAGAGGUUAUCUUAGGUCUUGCGUGGAGUCUAGGAUGAUAGCACUGAUGGUGGCAGAGCAGAAGAAUCCCAUCGUUUAUCAUGUUCUGGUUGGACUCCUUUCUUACUGUUUG